rnacentral:rRNA from 1 species
UAUGUGAUCGUCUCUCGCAUAUCAAUAAGCGGAGGAAAAGAAACUAACAAGGAUUCCCCUAGUAACGGCGAGUGAAGCGGGAAGAGCUCAAAUUUGAAAUCUUAAAGGGUUUCCCUUUACGAAUUGUAGUUUAAAGAAGUGUUUUCUGUUGAGGUUUUGGUAAAAGUUCUUUGGAAUAGGACAUCAUAGAGGGUGAGAAUCCCGUAUUUGACCUUUACUUUCAACUUUGUGAUACACUUUCAAAGAGUCGGAUUGUUUGGGAAUGCAGUCCAAAAUGGGUGGUAAAUUUCAUCUAAAGCUAAAUAUUGGCGAGAGACCGAUAGCGAACAAGUACCGUGAGGGGAAAGAUGAAAGAGAACUUUGAAAAGAGAGUUAAACAGUACGUGAAAUUGUCAAAAGGGAAGCGUUUGACACCAGUGUUGGUUUUUCUGAAAAUCAAUUAAAGAACUGUUUAUGCUAAGUUGUUUAGACUUUAUCAGCUAUCUGUUUAGUUUUGAGCCUUUUCUUUAAUGCACUUUUCAGUUAACAAGUCAACAUCAAUUUCUUUUGCUGUAAAAAAGCUUGAGGAAGGUGGCUUGAGAUUCGUCUUAAGUGUUUAUAGCCUCUUGCCUAUGCAGUCGGAGAGAUUGAGGUCUGCAGCGUAGAUCCUUCGGGGCUAAAUGCAUUUGUGCUAAGUUAUAGCAUUUUAUAGACAACUUGUUGACUAUGAUUUGUCUUGUAGCUUACUCGCUUAUGUUAUUUUACCUACGCUUAGGAUGUUGAAGAUAUGCGCGCACG